UUGAACGCUGGCGGCAUGCCUUACACAUGCAAGUCGAACGGCAGCACGGGUGCUUGCACCUGGUGGCGAGUGGCGAACGGGUGAGUAAUACAUCGGAAACAUGUCCUGUAGUGGGGGAUAGCCCGGCGAAAAGCCGGAUUAAUACCGCAUACGAUCUACGGAUGAAAGCGGGGGGACCUUCGGGCCUCGCGCUAUAGGGGUUGGCCGAUGGCUGAUUAGCUAGUUGGUGGGGUAAAGGGCCUACCCAAGGCGACGAUCAGUAGCUGGUCUGAGAGGACGACCAGCCACACUGGGACUGAGACACGGCCCAGACUCCUACGGGAGGCAGCAGUGGGGAAUUUUGGACAAUGGGCGAAAGCCUGAUCCAGCAAUGCCGCGUGUGUGAAGAAGGCCUUCGGGUUGUAAAGCACUUUUGUCCGGAAAGAAAUCCUUGGCUCUAAUAAAGUCGGGGGAUGACGGUACCGGAAGAAUAAGCACCGGGCUAACUACGUGCCAGCCAGCCGCGGUAAUACGUAGGGUGCAAGCGUUAAUCGGAAUUACUGGGCGUAAAGCGUGCGCAGGCGGUUUGCUAAGACCGAUGUGAAAUCCCCGGGCUCAACCUGGGAACUGCAUUGGUGACUGGCAGGCUAGAGUAUGGCAGAGGGGGGUAGAAUUCCACGUGUAGCAGUGAAAUGCGUAGAGAUGUAGAGGAAUACCGAUGGCGAAGGCAGCCCCCUGGGCCAAUACUGACGCUCAUGCACGAAAGCGUGGGGAGCAAACAGGAUUAGAUACCCCUGGUAGUCCACGCCCUAAACGAUGGUCAACUAGUUGUUGGGGAUUCAUUUCCUUAGUAACGUAGCUAACGCGUGAAGUUGACCGCCUGGGGAGUACGGUCGCAAGAUUAAAAACUCAAAGGAAUUGACGGGGACCCGCACAAGCGGUGGAUGAUGUGGAUUAAUUCGAUGCAACGCGAAAAAACCUUACCUACCCUUGACAUGGUCGGAAUCCUGAAGAGAUUCGGGAGUGCUCGAAAGAGAACCGGCGCACAGGUGCUGCAUGGCUGUCGUCAGCUCGUGUCGUGAGAUGUUGGGGUUAAGUCCCGCAACGAGCGCAACCCUUGUCCUUAGUUGCUACGCAAGAGCACUCUAAGGAGACUGCCGGUGACAAAACCGGAGGAAGGUGGGGAUGACGUCAAGUCCUCAUGGCCCUUAUGAGUAGGGCUUCACACGUCAUACAAUGGUCGGAACAGAGGGUUGCCAACCCGCGAGGGGGAGCUAAUCCCAGAAAAAACCGAUCGUAGUCCGGAUUGCACUCUGCAACUCGAGUGCAUGAAGCUGGAAUCGCUAGUAAUCGCGGAUCAGCAUGCCGCGGUGAAUACGUUCCCGGGGUCUUGUACACACCGCCCGUCACACCAUGGGAGUGGGUUUUUACCAGAAGUGGCUAGUCUAACCGCAAGGAGGGACGGUCACCAACGGUAGGAUUCAUGACUGGGGUG
rnacentral:rRNA from 1 species